rnacentral:rRNA from 1 species
GCUCUCCACAUGUUGCCAGGAUGGCAAAGGGGUUUGGUGACUAGACCAGGCAGGCUGGUUCUUGUCAAUCAGGUCAUGAGAGCGCGGGCCACUCACCACCUUAUGGUUGUGGAGGCGCCAAAAUGGGCUCUUGACAAAGUGGACAAAGGAUGUAGGGCCUUCUUCUGGGCCGGGACUGAGGAAAUCAAGGGAGGUAAAUGUGUCGUAUCUUGGGCGAGAGUAUGUAGGCCUAAGCUCAUGGGAGGGCUGGGCGUUAUUGAUCUUCACAAACACGGCAUUGCUCUAAGGUUGAGGUGGGAAUGUCUCAGACACACGCACCCAUCCAGGCCGUGGCAAGGGCUCUGCUUGGCUGCGGACAAAUCGGCUGCGCAGGCGUUCAGUAGCUUGGUGAAAUGGAGAGUUGGUGCUGGGGACAAAACCUUGUUCUGGAAGGAUAGAUGGAUCCAGGGUGCUACCAUUGCAGAGGUCGCUCCAUUGGUGGCAAAGUCUGUUCGUACGCAAGUGGCCAACAGGAGACGUGUUCGAGAGGCACUUGACAUGCACUCAUGG